UACGGGGGGAGCAAGCGUUGUUCGGAUUUACUGGGCGUAAAGGGCGCGUAGGCGGUCGUGACAAGUCACUUGUGAAAUCUCCGGGCUUAACUCGGGAACUGCGUCCGAUACUGGUGGGCUUGAAUCCGGGAGAGGGAUGCGGAAUUCCAGGUAUAGCGGUGAAAUGCGUAGAUAUCUGGAGGAACACCGGUGGCGGAAGGCGGCAUCCUGGACCGGCAUUGACGCUGAGGCGCG
rnacentral:rRNA from 1 species